rnacentral:rRNA from 1 species
CCUACGGGAGGCAGCAGUGAGGAAUAUUGGUCAAUGGACGAGAGUCUGAACCAGCCAAGUAGCGUGAAGGAUGACUGCCCUAUGGGUUGUAAACUUCUUUUAUAUGGGAAUAAAACGUUCCACGUGUGGGAUUUUGUAUGUACCAUAUGAAUAAGGAUCGGCUAACUCCGUGCCAGCAGCCGCGGUAAUACGGAGGAUCCGAGCGUUAUCCGGAUUUAUUGGGUUUAACGGGAGCGUAGGUGGAUUGUUAAGUCAGUUGUGAAAGUUUGCGGCUCAACCGUAAAAUUGCAGUUGAAGCUGGCAGUCUUGAGUACAGUAGAGGUGGGCGGAAUUCGUGGUGGAGCGGUGAAAUGCUUAGAUAUCACGAAGAACUCCGAUUGCGAAGGCAGUUCACUGGACUGCAACUGACACUGAGGCUCGAAAGUGUGGGUAUCAAACAGGAUUAGAUACCCCAGUAGUC